rnacentral:misc_RNA from 1 species
AAUUCUCAACCAUCCCUCGAUUCGUUUCGAGGUUUGGCUUGGACUUUGGGGGCUGCCGGCGACCCUCGGGUCUUCGGCUCUCCUUAAAAGCAUUAGCGAUGGCGGCGCGAUCUGACCAUGCAUGAACGGCCUUCGACGUGAUAAUGAUCGUCGUGGCUGGAGUGCUAGCGGGCGUCGUGAAGUCAGCGCUUCUAGAUCGUCGUCGAAAGACGAAACUUUGAA